UCCAUCCCAUUUCCUGCUUUGGCUUCUGGGUUCUUGCCAGAAGGUGCUGAGGCAACUGUGGACAUACCCUUUGAAAAAAUGGACAUAUAGUCUCCAACCCAUUUCCUGCUUUAGCAAAUCACAUGCAGCCUUCAAGUUGUCAAUUUUUUCAAAGGGUACAUCCACAGUUGCCUUGAAACCUUCUAGCAAGAAGCCAGGGUCCAAGGGAGGAAAUGGGAUGGA
rnacentral:pre_miRNA from 1 species